AUAACCAUUAACUUGAUUAUGAGUUUUUAUAGUAGAUGUUAGCUCUAGUUGGUUGACCUGUGUGAGCAAUGUGUUCAUUUAUAUGAGAUCUAUUGACUUCGAUAGAGAAAAAUAGUCUUAUGAGAUUUGAGAAGCUGAGUCCAUAAGUCUAUAGCCAUAGCAGUGUGAUUGAUGGAAAAUUUUUUUUAUUUAGCAUCACUAUUGGAUUUGAGC
rnacentral:lncRNA from 1 species